rnacentral:rRNA from 1 species
CCAAGGAGUCUAGCAUGUGCGCGAGUCAUUGGGACUCUAACGAAACCUAAAGGCGCAAUGAAAGUGAAGGUUCGCCUAGCGCGAACCGAGGGAGGAUGGACGGUCGAUCGUGGCCGUCCCGCACUCCCUGGGCGUCUCAUUCUCAUCGCGAGAAGAGGCGCACCAAGAGCGUACACGCUGGGACCCGAAAGAUGGUGAACUAUGCCUGGUCAGGACGAAGUCAGGGGAAACCCUGAUGGAGGUCCGUAGCGAUUCUGACGUGCAAAUCGAUCGUCGGAACUGGGUAUAGGGGCGAAAGACUAAUCGAACCAUCUAGUAGCUGGUUCCCUCCGAAGUUUCCCUCAGGAUAGCUGGCGCUCGCUUCUCGCGAGUCUCAUUCGGUAAAGCGAAUGAUUAGAGGCAUUGGGGUCGAAACGGCCUCAACCUAUUCUCAAACUUUAAAUGGGUGAGAUCUCCGGCUUGCUUGAACUGUGAAGCCGCGAGAUAUCGGAUCAGAGUGCCAAGUGGGCCACUUUUG